ACAAGACUCUAGGUAGCUUGGGGGUUAAAUCACUUAUUCUCAAAGGAGAAUUUAAGCAAAAAAAUAAUUAACUAUAAGAGAGAACACAAGAAUGCUUUUAUGUAUACCAUGUAGCCAAUAAUAUCUCAGUAACAAAUUCAAACAUACUGUCUCAUUUAUGUGUGAAGGGAUAGAUGAAAGGAAUCCUUAUGUAUCAACAGCAGCUACCAGGAAAGAGGACUGGAUCACACUUACCCCACAGGUAAUAGAGAAUAGGACACAACAGUGAAGACCCUGACAGGAUCAUGCUUAAGCGGGAUGGUUAGCUGCUGUCCAGCCAGUGACAGUCACAAUCUCCAGAGCAACAGUGACUCCAGCUGGAUUGAUUGAAAGUCCCUGAAGCACUUUUCAUUGGAUCCUUACACCCAAAUGGCUCACGGUUCUAUAUGAUCAGUUCUACAUCUGCAAGAACGCUACCCACUGAAUAUUUACAAGUGUGGUUUCCAUGUACAAUUUCAUCAGUUCUAAGGCUGGAAAUGUCUGGAGGAGUUUCUUUAAUGAUCAAGGUCUCCACUCAGGAUAUUAAUACAUUUAAACGUGCAGAUAGGCACUAUCUAAUAGUGUCUAUGGACUAGGUACAACAUACCCUGUCUAUCCCUUCUGAAGAGCCCAUGUGUAUGACAGUUGUGAGAUUCAUCCCACCAUGUUUCCUGAUAGCAACCAGAUCAAAAUUUUCCAAGCACAUCAUGGUUUUCAACUCCUCCUGCUUAUCUUCCAUGCUGUGUAUUAGUGUAAAGGCUUUGAUCUAGGACUUAAACUGAUCUUUUUACCUAGACAGCUUGCAAAAAUAUUACUUUGUUUAUCUUCCUACAUGAUAUCUUCUAUGCUCUUUUGUACUAGUAGAUGAAUAAAGUUGGUAUAUAUGC
rnacentral:lncRNA from 7 species